rnacentral:lncRNA from 1 species
GCAGUGAGCAACUGCACCCGCAAGCAGAGGGAUGGAGCGGCCCAGCGGGAGGCGGUGCAGAGUGUUUCCCUAGAGAGGGGCUAAUGGUUGGGGAACUACAUCCCUGGCAGAAGUGGGAAGUCAGGCCCAAAACAGAAAGAUUCUCCCUUCCUCCUUGGGGCAGGUAUCCGGGCAGAAUGCUACAGGCGGUAGGAAGAUGAUAAACAGGAAAUGCCUUGUGCAACGCAGCAGAAUCCAAGCCAGAGCCAGCCUUUGGGAACUGCGUUAACUUUUCACUACGGCAAACACCAACACAGUGAGAGAAAACCGCUUGCUGGUGUUGAGCUGCAGCCAGCCCACCCCUGGGAACCGGCUGUUUGCUGCUGUUUGGAGCUGGCUACCACAUACACUGCCUUUAGCAAGCUCUGUAUUGGCAUUUAG